ACGGGAGCAGCAGUGGGGGAUAUUGCACAAUGGGGGAAACCCUGAUGCAGCGACGCCGCGUGAGUGAAGAAGUAUUUCGGUAUGUAAAGCUCUAUCAGCAGGGAAGAAAAUGACGGUACCUGACUAAGAAGCUCCGGCUAAAUACGUGCCAGCAGCCGCGGUAAUACGUAUGGAGCAAGCGUUAUCCGGAUUUACUGGGUGUAAAGGGAGCGUAGACGGCGAGGCAAGUCUGAUGUGAAAGCCAUGGGCUCAACCCAUGAACUGCAUUGGAAACUGUUUUGCUUGAGUGUCGGAGAGGUAAGCGGAAUUCCUAGUGUAGCGGUGAAAUGCGUAGAUAUUAGGAGGAACACCAGUGGCGAAGGCGGCUUACUGGACGAUAACUGACGUUGAGGCUCGAAAGCGUGGGGAGCAAACAGGAUUAGAUACCCUGGUA
rnacentral:rRNA from 1 species